rnacentral:tRNA from 1 species
GCCUGGGUGGCUCAAUGGUUGAGCAUCUGUCUUUGACUCAGGUUGUGAUCCUGGGUUCCUGGGAUCGAGUCCCACAUCAGGCU